GUUUCUCCAACAUGUGCACCCACACUGCAAUUCCUCCCAGCCUUUGCAGUCUGUGUUCAUCCACACCAUCACCACCCAUCUCCUAUUACCAGGCAUCAUUGUCACGGAACCCUCUGCAAUCUUAAGGGGCUCUUAUUUGCUGUCCAUGAUCCUGCAGUCUUGGGAUUUUUCUUAGCCUCUUGGUCCCCUUUCAUGGCUCCUUUUUCUCUUCCUGCCCCUGAAUGUGGCUGUUUUCCAAAGCAAGGAAGAUUCCCAGCAGCAGGUAUUUAAGGCAGUACCAGCACAUAACCAGAGUUCCUGCCAUCCAAGUGCAUUGGAGUUUGGCUCUGAAGAACUUUAAGUAGGACCCCAGUCUACCAUAACAGUACAGAUUCUUCUUCCUGUCCAUGUGCUAUGUGCUGAGAUGCCAGUUUUACUGUUGCUAACAGAUAAAUCCACAGUGAGUGUGAUCCUCCUAUAUUCUAAAAGGAGAGAACAACCAGAUGGGAGAAUCUCCUCUGUUAUUAAUGAUUCAGUGAAGAAGAAAUGGAUCCCAAGGUGCAGCAUCAGUGAGUCCAAAGCAUCAUCCAUCCGUCAGUAUAGGAGGGCCACAGUCUGAAGGUGAGGAAGCCUGGCCUCAGCCUUGAAAGCAGUGCUAUUAAUUUUAGGCUGCAGGCCCACAGCUCUGUUUGGAUUCAAACCAAACCCCAGUGGUACAUCACUCACAUCAGAGUCAACAGGACCAGGUUUUUGCGUACUUCACCUCACAUUCAGCAAGGUGACACAGCAUUCAAAUUGCCAUCUUGAAAGCAGAGACCAGACCCUCACCAGACAACUGAACCUGCCUGCAUCUUGGUCUUGGACUUCUCAGCCUCCAGAAAUCUAAAACCCCUGAGUUUUAACUGGACACAUGUCCACCCAGCCACAGAUUACAUUUCCCAGGCUCCAUUGCAGCCAGCUGUGACCAUGUGACUAAGUUUGGCCCAGUGGAAUAUGAGCAGAUAUGAUGUGUACUACAACCAGGUCUUCUUAAAGAUACUUGCCCUGGACUCCUCUUCUUUCCCACUUCCCUUGGAUGUGGUGGUAAGCCACCAUCAACUAUGCUGAUGCUGAUAAUACACUAAGCCAGGGAGAACCAAAGGAAAGGAAGAACCGUUUCCUUAGAAGACCUUGAAUAGCAAAGCUGCUUGUCCUCCAGUUCUUGACCACUCACUACUUGACUGUUACAAAAGAGUGAAAUAAACUUCUGUCAUCUUUGAGCUGUUGUACUUCAAGUUUAGGCUAUACUCCAGUAGUAAACCUUCAAAGACUAUCCACAAACUUAAUUAGUCAUAUCCUUUUAAACAUUUCAAAUUAAAAUUGCAAGUCUAAUAUGCCAAGUCUCUGGUAUGUUAGAUUUUCUUCAAUGUUUCAAGCUCUCUAAGAAACACACAGAUUAUAAUGAUGAUUGAAAACUUAUUUCCAACCUUACCACAAAAAGGAGUGCUGCAUUCAGUGCAUCUAAGAUAUAAGAUGCAACAUUACUUUAAUAUCACUAAGGUAGAAGAAACACCACUGUAGUGGAUUGAAUUAUGUCCCCCCAAAACUCAAUGAAGCUUGAAUUGUGUCCCCCAAGUUUUAUGUAUUAGAAACUUGGCCCCCACUGUGACUAUUAAGAGGGUGGGAAAUCCUAUUAUGGUGAUUGAAAGGUGGAGCCUUGAAGAGGGGAUUGGAUUGUAGGACCAUGCCAUAGUGAAUGGAUUAAAAAUGGUGGUCAUGGGCAUGACUCUGAGGGCUUUAAAAGGAAGAGUCUGUCUUUCUCUCUCUCUGCUCUCUCUGCUUCCACCACCUUGCAAUGUGAGACCCCUGGGUCACUGUCACCACCAUCAGAUGGACUUUGGACUUCCCAACCUCAGAAACU